GCCUGAGUGGCUCAGUCGGUUAAGCAUCCAACUUCGGCUCAGGUCAUGAUCUUGUAAUCUGUGGGUUCAAGCCCCACAUCAGGCU
rnacentral:tRNA from 1 species